GACGAACGCUGGCGGCGUGCUUAACACAUGCAAGUCGAACGGAAAGGCCCUGCUUUUGUGGGGUGCUCGAGUGGCGAACGGGUGAGUAACACGUGAGUAACCUGCCCUUGACUUUGGGAUAACUUCAGGAAACUGGGGCUAAUACCGGAUAGGAGCUCCUGCUGCAUGGUGGGGGUUGGAAAGUUCCGGCGGUUGGGGAUGGACUCGCGGCUUAUCGGCUUGUUGGGGAGGUUGUGGCUUACCAAGGCUUUGAAGGGUAGGCGGCCUGAGAGGGUGACCGGCCACAAUGGGACUGCGAGAGGGCCCAGACUCGUACGGGAGGCAGCAGUGGGGAAUAUUGCGCAAUGGGCGGAAGCCUGAUGCGGCAACGCCGCGUGCGGGAUGACGGCCUUCGGGUUGUAAACCGCUGUCGCCUGUGACGAAGAGGGAGUGACGGUAAUGGGUAAAGAAGCACCGGCUAACUACGUG
rnacentral:rRNA from 1 species